CUUCCAGUAGGCGAGAGAGCAGAGUGCAGACAACAGAUGUGAGAAAGGUCCUCAUAGCUGUCAAGUUCCAGCAUCCUUGUGCUGAAGAAGGGGUGGUGCCAACAUGACUGAUGUUCAGAGGGAAUAUAAAAGCCCUGGACUUCGCCCCAACUGCUUGUCACACUGACCUGCACCAUCUCCCGACUGCUCCUGGGGUUUCUGUCAACUAGUCCUGGAGGGGAACAAACUCUUUGGAGAAUAACAUUUUACUGUGACCAUGCCAGAACCCACCAAGAAAGAGGAAAAUGAAGUGCUGGCCCCUGCCCCAGCUCCACCCCCAGAAG